rnacentral:rRNA from 1 species
GACGGAGGAUGCAAGCGUUAUCCGGAAUUAUUGGGCGUAAAGCGCACGUAGGCGGCUUGGUAUGUCGGGUGUGAAAUCCCCGGGCUCAACCUGGGAACUGCAUCCGAAACUGCCUUGCUCGAGUAUGGGAGAGGGAAGUGGAAUUUCCGGUGUAGCGGUGAAAUGCGUAGAUAUCGGAAGGAACAUCAGUGGCGAAGGCGACUUCCUGGACCAAUACUGACGCUCAGGUGCGAAAGCGUGGGGAGCAAACAGG